rnacentral:rRNA from 1 species
UUACUUACAUCUAUAAACGCCGGGGAAUUACGAGCUACGCUUAAAACCCAAAGGAUUUGACGGUGUCCCACCCCCCUAGAGGAGCCUGUUCUAUAAUCGAUAAUACCCGCUAUACCCAACCACCUCUCGCUAUUCAGUCUGUAUACCUCCGUCGAAAGCUUACCAUGUGAACGCCUACAGUAAGUACAAUGGCUACCAACGCCAACACGUCAGGUCAAGGUGCAGCUUAAGUGGUGGAAAGUAAUUGGCUACAAUUUCUAACCUAGAACAAACGGAAGGCUAUGUGAAACCAUAGUUCUGAAGGCGGAUUUAGUAGUAAAAAGAAAAUAGAGCGUUCUUUUUAACCCGGCUCUGGGACGCGUACACACCGCCCGUCAC